ACAUGUUUACUUGCAUUUCGUUGCUUGAAUUGUUUCUGAAAACAAUGAUUUUUCUAUUUUUAGUGUUAUUACUUAUUUUCGUAUUACUAUGUCUGGAUCAAUGGAAGCCGACAAAGUUUAUACAGCUGCACAAAGAAACAGGUACAAGUUCGAAAGCGUUGCCUUUCAUCGGUCACGGCUUAAUGUUCGUAGGGAACGGCGAAGAUCGUAUUUCAGUGAUACAAAAUAUGUCCGAGCAAUCAUACCGAAAUAAAUAUGGAAUGCUCAGUUUCUGGAUCGCCAAUUUCUGCUGUGUCGCCAUAUGUGAACCCGAGUCUGCUCAUUUUGUGCUACGAUCAUGCCUUGAGAAAGGUCAGAUGACACUUGUUUUCCAUCAUAUCAUUGGAAG